CACAUCAGAAUCGAUCAUCUCCAACUUUGUUAGAUGCGCCAUCGUUGAUAUCUCCCCGUCCUGGUUCACAACAGUUUUCUCUUUCUGCCGCUUCAUUUCCUUCAGAUCAUUCUGAAAUUUUCGACCGUUGCGCUUUAUAUGCCAUUUCUUGUGACAGAAGAAGCACUCCACCUUAGAGAAAGGCUUCUUCUGUCCACCUUCGGUCGCCAAUAUUUUUGUCUCCUUUUACUACAAUAAAAACGGUCUAUAGCGACACUUUUAAAUAUCGGUAUAGAUCAAAAAAAAAGUGUUGCUGGCUAAAUUACCGAUACUUUUAAAAAGUGUUGCUAUAUGUGGGGUAGCUAGGUAUAUAGUG
rnacentral:lncRNA from 1 species